UACGGAGGGUGCAAGCGUUAUCCGGAUUCACUGGGUUUAAAGGGUGCGUAGGAGGGCAGGUAAGUCAGUGGUGAAAUCUCCGAGCUUAACUUGGAAACUGCCGUUGAUACUAUCUGCCUUGAAUGUUGUUGGAGGUGAGCGGAAUAUGUCAUGUAGCGGUGAAAUGCUUAGAUAUGACAUAGAACACCAAUUGCGAAGGCAGCUCGCUACGCAUAUAUUGACUCUGAGGCACGAAAAGCGUGGGGGAU
rnacentral:rRNA from 1 species